CGCAGUGUCGAGCGUGGGCCCGGGCUGCUCGGGCCGCGCGGGCACCGGCGAGCGUCGUCCGCGGCGCGCAGUGGGCUGUCAGGGAAGGCUCGUGGGGACCCGCCGCGCCUCCGGCCUCGCCCCACGGCCGCGCUCCCCGCCGCCCGCCCUCCCGCGCGUCAGGCUAGGAGACGACUGGCUCGGCGCCUAGCCACCGCGGACGCGACAGGGAAGCAGCACUUUCGGGGACUCGGCUGGCGCGUUCGAGCCCUUCUUCCAGCGAAUCGUGGCUCACCCGUCCCUCGCACCGGACAUCGUCCCUGUCUGUUCCCGGCCGGUCCUCACUGCCCCCCGGGAGCCCUUUCCGAAGUAGCAGCGCCCACCCGCUGGCUUGACUGGCUGCGGCGCGUUGUGUUCUUUCGGGGCGCCGGGCAGGAGCCCCCCACGUCCGACGACAAAUAAAGCCUCCGCGGAGAAGCGCUGGGUAGAAUAGCAGCUCUCCUCAAGUCAGCCGCCACCUCCCCUCUGUCCUCGACCCUUUCUGCCCUGAACCACCCAGCCGGGCACACACACACAGGGGCCAUGGUGCCAGUCUGCAGUAGGAGACAGAGAAGGAAACAGUCACGCGGGGUAUGAGAGUCCAGCAAGCUUGGCGCUGCUCCCCAAAUGUCCCAAGUUCCGCACAAAAGCAUGAGGAGUCGGUGGUGGCCCCUUCAGAUUUCUCCUUACCCCUUUGGUUACUGUUUUCUGCCUUGUUACUGUGUUGUCCUGUUCCCCUGCACUGUGACUUUGUUGCUGGUCCCCCCUCCAGGGCCAGAGGGGUGCCCUUCCAGCCCAGACACCUUGAGGGGAUGAUGAGCCAUUCUCACUCCGCCCAGUCCCCUGGGGAGCCCCAAACCGUGUCCCUCAGCUGUCUCCUCUCCUUGUUCUUUAUGUCCUUAUCAUUUUAUUCACCAGGAGGUAAAGUUCUCUCAUUUAAAAAAAAAAAAUUUUUUUUAACGUUUAUUUUACUUUUUUGAGACAGAGACAGAGCAUGAAUGGGGAAGGGUCAGAGAGAAGGAGACACAGAAUGGGAAACAGGCUCCAGGCUCUGUCAACACAGAGCCCGAUGAGGGGCUCGAACUCACGGACCGCGAGAUCAUGACCUGAACCGGAGCCGGCUGCUUAACCAACUGAGCCACCCAAGCUCCCCAAAAGUUCUCUUAAUUUUCAGCAAACUGUGGCCCUUGCCCCCAUUUUACGCCUUGGCAGGAAGAGCCCUGGAGGCCCGGCAGAGCAACGAGCCACUUGCAGAGGAUGAGAAGGGCCCAUUUCCCACUGGACAUCCACUUGGGAGGAAGAUGCAGUGUCAUGACAACUGUGGUCACCCCCAGGCCACUGAGCCUUGAGAAGACAUGGCAGGGGGUCACCUGAGGCUGCUUCCACAAGCCAGGUCUCAGUGAGGCCUCGGGCCACUCAGGUGGGACUCAAGGGGAUCUUUUCCCACGGCGAUGCACCUGGGCUGUCCACCAGGCCUCCAAGCUCCCACAUCCUAUGUUCUAUGAAAUCCAUGUGAAUGUUGCCCUGGAGAUGGAAAGAACCUGCGGCAGCUUUGAAUGCAAUUUACAUGCAAGAGGGAGAACAGGUCACCCCAGAAAGCCCGUGACGUCUGAGGUUUGCUCCCUCUGAUGCCCAGGUGCCGAUGUGGCGCUCGGGGAUGCCCCGGAUCCGGGCGUACAUGACCAGCGUCUCCCAGCCCGUCAUGUGGUUGAGCAGGGUGUCAGACUGGGGACAGUAGCCCACCCACUGCCGCACCUGGUGGGGGGGAGGCACGUCAGAAGGAAAGCCGCCCACUGCACGGGGGGCCCGGACGCCUGCCUGGCCUUGCCCCACCCCGGGCUCCUGCUCUGCCCCGUGCAUCCCCACGUUUGCCAUGUAGACAGACGUGUGCCCGGCUGCGGCGCUCGCUGGCGGGGUCUGUGGACGGGGCACACGAGGGGCCCUUCUGCUUGGCCAGCAUGAAACCUCAGUGCUCAGCGCCUGCCUGCCUCGUGCCCUUCCAGAUGCCAGACUGCUCUGGACACCACCGUCUGGGGCGGGGUGGGCAGCUCUGACCGGGUGCAGACCUGAAAACCGCCUGGAUGGAAUGAACUAGGGGACAACGUGCCAGGACAUCCCACAACCGAGGGCAGGGCUCCCCCUGAAGACAGACGCCACCGGGCAGGAGCAAAGUGCCGGGAGGAAACAUGGACUUGACAGAAGAGGCUUCGAGCAUCUCACUAUGAGACAUGAAGAUUUCUGACGUGUGCCAAAAUGCUUGGUGUGAUUUUUGGGAAACCCAGCAAGAGCUCAGCUGCCUCGUGAAAUGCAUCUGCGGAAGGGGUGAGUUUAGAGGCCGGAGGGAGACACGGUUUACAGGGGAGCUGGGGCCUGACCGCAGGGUCUGGUGGGCCCGCUGUGAGGUUGUCUGAACGUCAUGGUACAAACGGAUAACGAGACUCGGGACCCGCCUCUAUAGUUUGUGGAGACAAAAACCAUCAUUUGCGAUGCUGUACGUCACCACGUACCUGGAAAGGCCACAAGAAUCAACCAGAGUAAGAAAUGAAGGCAAGGUGAGCCAAUUGGCUGGUUGUGAAGUAAAUAUGCAGAAACUGGGGCCCCUUAGAGGUUUAGAGAAACCAAUUUUUAGAUUUGUGUUACGUUAAAAAAACGGAAUACCGAACGAGGUUGUAAAGAAAUUGAGCUACGUUUAAAAAAUAUUAAAU